GCCUGGUACUUCCAGCCAACCUCGUGAGCCAGGCGCCCCAGAUAGGCAAACUUUCUUGUAGGCUUCAGACGCACAACCUUGAGGGAGCAGGAACACCAUCCGCUUUUUCUUGUCGUAGGGCGGUGGGAUGCGGUCAAACACCUUGAGGCGGUCCAGAGAAGCCUGGCCUCGCUUGGUCUUGUGGGGCGGCAUACCUCGCACGGUCCGCCAGAAGAUGCGGCUGGGGGGCCCGGAAGUGGUAGGGACCUCGGGAAAGGUGGGUGUUCCUGUUUAGCCACGAUGGCCGCCAGGCGGACCAGGAGAUGGCCUCGACCAUCGAGCACCAGGACCUGCACCUCCGCCAUCUUCG
rnacentral:lncRNA from 1 species